AAAGCCUUUCUUCGUAGGAUUUGUUGCGCAAGGAGGGGAUCAUUUUUGUUGCUAGACGCUGAACACCUUCUAGUUUAGCAAUGUCCUUUGCAUGGUGGGGAGACCAAAACUGUACCGCAUAUUCCAAGUGGGGUCUGACUAAACUAUUGUAGAGCGGAAGUAUUACAUCUUUAUUCUUGAAUACAAAGUUUCUUUUAAUGAAGCCCAACAUUCUGUUCGCUUUAUUUGCUGCAUCGAUGCAUUGCUGUGAGAAUUUGAGGUUUGACGCGAUUUUAAGAGAGAGAGAGAGAGAGAGAGAGAGAGAGAGAGAGAGAGAGAGAGAGAGAGAGAGAGAGAGAGAGAGAGAGAGAGAGAGAGAGACGGCCGAUUCAUUCUUGUCCAUAACGUAUUUCCUGUGACAAAAUGCGUUUCCCUCGUCGACCCCGUUACUACCAUUCUUUUAUUUCUUGUGAGAAAAUAGGCUUGAAGUCCUUACGAGAAACUUGUUAUGGAUUACAAUUGCACUAGUCCGUAUUUUUCACCAAAAUAAUGUUGAAGCUAGCAACAUGUACGGUGUACAGGAGAGUUUUAUGAUAAAGGAAUAUUUCGUAGCACUCACGCCUCUCACCGGCAAACGGGCUGAGGCAGGCAGUCACGAAGCGCAGUCACUCAGUUUUAACAUUGUGCCAUUGUUGUGUGGAGAUUGUUGUGUUACGGAUUUCGCAAAGGGGAUAAUCAUGCCAAAAGUUGAAAAGAAUUAUCGUUCCCAAAGAUACAGGGCGGAGUGGGAAAAAGAAAGCUGGACUUCAGGAUGGCUCUCUGCUGGAAAACGAAUGGAAAAAGCUCAUUGUAGAGUGUGUGAUAAGGAGCUAGUGGCAGGAAAAUCUGAGUUCAUUGGUCACACAAAAACGUCUACUCAUAUAAGUCACUUACUAAGCGAAUUCAGUCAAAUGAACCGAUGACCAAGUUUGUGAAAUCAAAGGAUGAAUUAAAAAAAAGGGCAGGAUUAAAGCAGAGCUGAAUGUUGUAGCAAUGAAGACUAGAAAAAAAUCUCUUUCAACUGUCUUGAUGACAUGCAUGGUUAGUACACUCCAUUUUAAUGUUGCAGAUGAUUCGAAAGCAAUCAAGAAACUUGUAACCGAACCAAGCCUUUGUUUAUUGUUUUGUAGUACAUUGUAUAUGUUUUUACUUAUUUUUUUUAAAGAAGUUUACAUAUGUAUUUUAUCACCUUUCAGUCUUUAAUAUGUUGUUACGUAUUUUUUGGAAAAAAGAAGUCUGAUGCUAUAUUAUCAGUUUUGGUGUGUAGGGGAACGUAGGGGAAAAUCACCUUGGAUGUAGGUAGCACAGGUCACCGAAGCGUGGCAACACUGCUGCCCUAUGCGACGUAAUUCAGUUCACUUCCUCCAAAACCAUCCUACAGUGAGGUUCAGUGACUUCAGUCCUAUAGACUCCUACAAUUACGCUGGCUGCUUACACGGUACGCUUCUUCUUAAGAUACUAAGGCGAUUCUGGGCAAUUUCCUCCUACUCACCCCCCCUCUGACUCCUUUAUGUCUGUUUUUAAGAUCCUUAAGGAUGCUUUCUAUACCCUCUCUGUCCUCGACCCUCAGAAGGAUUUUGGGCCUGAUGGAGUGCCUCUUAUCGUCCUCAAGAACUGUGCUCCCGUGCUGUCACCCUGCCUGGUCAAACUCUUUCGCCUCUGCUUGUCAACAUCUACCUUUCCUUCCUGCCUGUGCCUCAGAAGGGUGACCGUUCCAAUCUCUCAAACUACCGCCUUUUAGCUUUACUUUCCUGUCUAUCUAACUCUUUUGAAUCAAUCCUUAACCGGAAGAUUCAAAAGCACCUUUCCACUUUUGAUCUUCUAUCUGAUCGCCAGUAUGGGUUCCGCAAGGGGCGUUCUAUUGGCGAUCUUCUUGCUCUCUUAAAUGACUCUUGGUCAUUCUCUCUUAGCUGUUUCGGUGAAACUUUCUCAGUUGCGUUAGACAUAUCGAAAGCUUUCGAUAGAGUCUGGCACAGAUCUUUGCUUUCUAAACUGCCCUCUUUCGGAUUCUAUCCUUCUCCCUGUUCCUGUAUCUCUAGUUUCCUUUCCGACCGCUCUACCUCUGCCGUGGUAGACGGUCACUGUUCUUCCUCUAAACCUAUCAACAGUGGUGUCCCACAGGGCUCUGUCCUCUCAUCCACUCUCUUCCUGUUAUUCAUCAAUGAUCUUCUUUCCAUAACAAAAUGUCCUAUCCUUCAUACGCUGACGACUCCACUCUGCAUUAUUCAACUUUUUUCAACAGAAGACCCUCUCAACAGGAAUUACGAGACUCCAGACUGGAGGAUGCAAAACGCUUAACCUCAGACAUUGCUCUCAUUUCCGAUUGGGGUAAAAGGAACCUUGUGUCCUUUAAUGCAUCAAAUACCCAAUUUCUCCACCUAUCAACUCGACGCAAUCUUCCAAACACCUAUCCCCUAUUCUUCGACAACACUCAGCUGUCACCUUCUUCAACACUAAAUAUCCUCGGUCUAUCCUUAACUCAAAAUCUCAACUGGAAACUUCACAUUUCCUCUCGCACUAAAUCAGCUUCCUCGAGGUUGGGCGUUCUGUAUCGUCUCCGCCAGUUCUUCUCCCCCGCACAGAUGCUUUACAUAAGGGUCUUGUCCGCCCUCGUAUGGAGUAUGCAUCUCACAUGUGGUGGGGCUCCACUCACACAGCUCUUCUGGACAGAGUGGAGUCUAAGGCCCGUACCAAGAGUCGUGAAGGUUUAGUGACGAAGCUCGAAGGGAAGGACGGUGCGUACCUAUAGUCACUAGCAUUUUUGGAACGAAGGUCUGUGGAAGAGACGAAGGGAAGGCAAGGUCUACCCCUAAGUCUAUAUAUACCAAGUCAAGUCAUACGCAGGUUUGUGGGAGGAGACACGGCAGAAGCGUGGCUUGGAGCCAAACUAGAGAAUGUAGAAACAGGGAUUUAGAGAAAACGAAGAAAGGCGGACCAAUUUAAAUCAAUCACUUCAACAUACCCUCCCUCACACCUCACACCGCCGUUUGUAGGCAUUGAAAUUACAGUCACGCAACAGCACAAUAAAAAGGCUUAUUUUUUUUCAUCAGUGGCUUGCCUGAACGCGCUGUGAAAGCAAGCAAGCAUGCACAUCCAAAGUGCACACACGGCCGCAACUUUAGUCACCCCUGAACUGUCGGGUAUUUUUUUUUUACCUUCAAGUGACGUCAUCACGCUGCUCCACCCCCAAACCGCCCCCUGCGCGUACCGGUCGCAGUUUUGAAGCAGAGUGACUUGACUUGGUAUAUAUAGACUUAGGUCUACCCCGUGUCUUCCCUCAGACCUUCGAGGAAAAAUAUGUUUAUUUUCCAAAUUUGGUGUGGCAAAUAGUUGCGGUUCAGUUAAAACAACCUGAGAAAAUAUUUUCCCUAAUUGGAAAGUCGUAUAUUAUAGUUGCAGCGAAUAUGUUUGUCUUGUUUACAACAACAGCACGCGUCUUCAAAGCACAGAGGAACCAGCCAGGCGGGAACCUUCAUGGCUCACAUUCUCCAACGAUCUAUGGUUUUUCAAAUUCUUUCUUAUUUCAGUUAAGACAUCUGGCUCUGCAAGUGCAAACAAAGGGUAUCUUAAUAAUUUACUGCAUGCAAAUAACGAUUAAUAAUGGAAAAAAACAUGAAAUAAUAAAUAAUAACUGUUGAAUGCGAUGCUUGGCUAUUUCGAAUAUUAGGCUACCCAUGUUAUUUAUACAUGCAACAUCAAAAUUUCUUAUGUAUAGACACUUGCAGAGUCGUAUGUAACUUUAUAUAUGUGAGGGCAACUACCAACUUGGCAGGCGAACGACCGGGGCAAUCCUGCCGCCCGCCCGCUUCUUGCCGUUCGAAGCCGUUCAACUACCGAGGCGCAGCGAACCACCUGCUACACUCGCGCUGCUCGUUCGCCUGACGCCGUUCGACGCCUCGGUCGACUGAACCAUCGAGGCUUCUCAAUCCGCUGUGGGAGGCGACUAGGUGUGCGCCAGCGCCUUCCUCGUCAGACAGCGGCCGGGCCUCGCUCUGAACACUUGAUUCUACUCCGGUUCCAAGCCCUGCUCUCAUUCGGGUUAACUCAGAUACCGUGGGCUCGUUCUGGGUGCCUUACCUCUCCCCUCUCCACGCCUUGGACUCCCGUUAUUGUCGUUAACCUGACGCCCCUUCUCCUCCUGCGGCUCCCUCGUCUACCACGUCUACACCACUUCAAGGACGAAGCAUUGCUGCCUCGUCAUUGCCACUCUGGACGAGACGCCCAGAAGAGGAAGAAGCCGUGCAACGGGUCAUUGCUGAGUCCGGUGUUGUGCUGGAAGCUUCCCCCGGCGUCCAUGGGGCUCUAGAAGGCUCCGGGAAGAGCGAGCAAGGGGGCGGGGAGCAAAGCCUCGUCCGCGCCCCGCGGGGCGCGGCCAGGCGCCAGGCGGGAAGUGUUGCCAACCCGCACAUACUUUUGCUACAUGUUCUUGUAUGAUCUAAAAUUCUAAAAUAUACUGUAACAUUCUAGACUGUACUGUUCUGGAUAUAUAUCGAAGAAGAGGGCGAGAGGAGGCCAGUCCCAGUCAUAGUAAGCUAGUGUUCAGUGAAGAGUCAGAGUGAAGUGUACUACUAAGGAAGAACAUUAAACUACAGAAACUGUGCAAAGUGUUUACAUUUCUCCCUCCCAAGGAGUCUCCUGACGGCGACACGGAACCCAAGUAACACGUCCGGCAUAACACCGGCGUGCUGAAGCCUUCGUGUUGGAAACUUCAGAUUGUGAUUGGGGUUUCUACUUUACUUAAAGUAAACUGGUGUCUAAUCAUUUAUCUUGUUUAUUGUUAUCCCUUCCGAUUGCAGCACCAAACUCUGGAACCUUGACAAUAUCCCUUAAUGAGAUGAAAUAUGAGUAUCUGAAAGGCUAUAGAUCAUUCGAGUAUGAUCAAACUAUACUGUUUGAUAUACAAGUUGCUUCUUAGUGUCCUUGUAUGUUAUAUUAUCAAUGCAAAUCUUUUGUUUGCGGUUCAUAUACAAUGGUUUGAGGAUUUUUUUGUAUGCACAAACAUUCAAAUGAUCUUCACGCAAACACAAGCUCACAAUGCGCAGGUGCCACAUCUACGUUCACGAGUGGACAGACGGAAUGAAACGGACAAUAUUAUGGCUGGAAUAGCACCAUGGGGAUAUUAUACCUCCAUAAAUAGCACUGUGUGUUUGUAUGUGUGUGCGUGCAUUAGAUCUGGUAGGUGAAAAGAAGGUUGCAGUGUGUGUAUGUGCAUUUACCUUCCAUAGUGACUUGUGGUAAAGGAUUGAAGGGACGGUUUGAGGCCGUGCCUACAUUGUCGAAGGGAAGGUACGCGGCUCGACCUUCACGACUCUUGGUACGGGCCUAGGGCUGUUCGUCUCAUCAGCUCUCCUCCUAUUACUGACAGCCCUCUUAAAUUCCGCCUCCAUGUUGCAUCUCUUUCUAUCUUCUAUUGAUAUUUUCACACUGACUGCUCUUCUGAACUUGCUAAAUGCAUGCAUCCCCCCCCUCCCGCGGCCCCACUGCACACGACUUUCUACUCAUGCUCAUCAUUAUAAUGUCCAAACCCAUUAUGCAGGAGUUAACCAGCAUCUUCAUUCUUUCAAAAACUUUUCACUGGUAAACUCUGGAACAGCCUUCCUUCGUAUGUAUUUCCUCUUGCUUAUGACUUGACCUCUUUCAAGAAGAGUGUAUCAAGACACCUCUCCAUCCGAAAUUGACCUCUUUUUGCCACUCUAUAGUUAUCGCUAUAUGAGAGCAACAGUUAGCGUUUUUAUUUUUAUUUUAUUUUUUUGUUGCCCUUGAAUUGCUCUCCGCUGGUAAAAAAAAAAAAUGAAGUGAUGUUCAUUAUGUAAUUGUAAUUAUGAUAUAAUUUAUUUUGAAGUAAUUGUAAUUGUAAUGUAAUUGCUAUUUCCAAAUGUAAUUUUAAUUAUAAUUGUAAUUCAAAAUUUAUGAAAGUAAUUGUAAUUGUAAGUAUUUAUUUCAAGUGUAAUUACUCCAACCCUGAUCCAAAACAUGGAUAGAGAUGACGGGGACACACACUGACGAUGCAGGGACGACUAAGGAAGGUGGCAUAGAUCGUAUAACAUUAUAAUUGGGGAGACGAGGGGCCCUGAGAAACAUUGAUAAUACAAGGUAGGUGAAAGAUGGUGAUCUAGUGCUUAUUACAAUCUUUAAGAGGUAGGCUGACGGGGAUCGCUGACAGAGACAAUGGAAGGCAGACAAAGGAGGGUGAAUAGUAACAGUCUAUAUAGGUAAGCAGACGGGGGAGCAGAGAACGAGGCACAAGUUUGCGGAACCAAAGUAUGUAAAGGAAGCCACAACACAAAGAAGCCCUUGGAGGAAGGAAGAGUUGGAG